CGUGGGGAGCAAACAGGAUUAGAUACCCUGGUAGUCCACGCCCUAAACGAUGUACACUAGUUGUUGGGGUGCUAGUCAUCUCAGUAAUGCAGCUAACGCAUUAAGUGUACCGCCUGGGGAGUACGGUCGCAAGAUUAAAACUCAAAGGAAUAGACGGGGACCCGCACAAGCGGUGGAGCAUGUGGUUUAAUUCGAAGAUACGCGAAGAACCUUACCUGGGCUUGAUAUCCUAAGAACCUUUUAGAGAUAAGAGGGUGCUAGCUUGCUAGAACUUAGAGACAGGUGCUGCACGGCUGUCGUCAGCUCGUGUCGUGAGAUGUUGGGUUAAGUCCCGCAACGAGCGCAACCCACGUAUUUAGUUGCUAACGGUUCGGCCGAGCACUCUAAAUAGACUGCCUUCGUAAGGAGGAGGAAGGUGUGGACGACGUCAAGUCAUCAUGGCCCUUAUGCCCAGGGCGACACACGUGCUACAAUGGCAUAUACAAUGAGACGCAAUACCGCGAGGUGGAGCAAAUCUAUAAAAUAUGUCCCAGUUCGGAUUGUUCUCUGCAACUCGAGAGCAUGAAGCCGGAAUCGCUAGUAAUCGUAGAUCAGCCAUGCUACGGUGAAUACGUUCCCGGGUCUUGUACUCACCGCCCGUCACACCAUGGGAGUUGAUUUCACUCGAAGCCGGAAUACUAAACUAGUUACCGUCCACAGUGGAAUCAGCGACUGGGGUGAAGUCGUAACAAGGUAACCGUAGGAGAACCUGCGGUUGGAUCACCUCCUUUCUA
rnacentral:rRNA from 1 species